GGUAAGGUGGCCGAGCAGGCGGUGGAUUGUAGUCCCACAUACAGAGGUGUAAGUCCUCUUCUUAUCAC
rnacentral:tRNA from 1 species